AAACUUACCUGGCUGGGAGAAUCUCGCGAUCAAGAAGGCGGGACCUCCAUGGUGAGGCCCGCGUAUUGCACUUUAGCGCAGGCUAACCUGUGUGGCAGCCUCGAGUUGAGGUUAGCCAACAGCUAAAUUUUUUGCGUGUGGGGCUGCGUUCAUUCAUCAUCUAU
rnacentral:snRNA from 1 species